rnacentral:rRNA from 1 species
ACGAAGGGGGCGAGCGUUGUUCGGAAUCGCUGGGCGUAAAGGGCGCGUAGGCGGCCCUCCUUGUCGCGUGUGAAAGCCCCGGGCUCAACCUGGGAACGGCGCGCGAAACGGGGGGGCUGGAGUUCGGGAGAGGAGAGUGGAAUUCCCAGUGUAGAGGUGAAAUUCGUAGAUAUUGGGAAGAACACCGGUGGCGAAGGCGGCUCUCUGGGACGGUACUGACGCUGAGACGCGAAAGCGUGGGGAGCGAACAGGA